rnacentral:rRNA from 1 species
UACGGGGGGGCAAGCGUUGUUCGGAAUUACUGGGCGUAAAGGGCUCGUAGGCGGCCAACUAAGUCAGACGUGAAAUCCCUCGGCUUAACCGGGGAACUGCGUCUGAUACUGGUUGGCUUGAGUGUGGGAGAGGGAUGCGGAAUUCCAGGUGUAGCGGUGAAAUGCGUAGAUAUCUGGAGGAACACCGGUGGCGAAGGCGGCAUCCUGGACCAUUACUGACGCUGAGGAGCGAAAGCGUGGGGAGCAAACAGGG